CUUCUCCCACCCUGAACGCGCCCGAUCUCGUCUGAUCUCGGAAGCUAAGCAGGGUCGGGCCUGGUUAGUACUUGGAUGGGAGGC
rnacentral:rRNA from 1 species